AGUCGAACGAUAGACUUCGGUCUAGAGUGGCAGACGGCUGAGUAACGCGUAGGAAACCUGUCCCACAGUGGGGGAUAACCCGCCGAAAGGUGGGCUAAUACCGCAUACGUUCCCGUGGUGAGAGACCGCGGGAGGAAAGCCGCAAGGCGCUGAGGGAGGGGCCUGCGUCCUAUCAGGUAGUUGGUGAGGUAACGGCUUACCAAGCCUACGACGGGUAGCUGGUCUGAGAGGACGACCAGCCAGACGGGGACUGAGACACGGCCCCGACUCCUACGGGAGGCAGCAGCGAGGAAUCUUGGGCAAUGGGCGAAAGCCUGACCCAGCGACGCCGCGUGGGGGAAGAAGGCCUUCGGGUCGUAAACCCCUUUUGCCGGGGAAGAAGAUCUGACGGUACCCGGCGAAUAAGCCACGGCUAACUACGUGCCAGCAGCCGCGGUAAUACGUAGGUGGCAAGCGUUGUCCGGAUUUACUGGGCGUAAAGGGCGUGUAGGCGGUUUGUUAAGUCCGGUGUGAAAUCUCCCGGCCCAACUGGGAUAGGUCAUCGGAUACUGGCGAACUAGAGAUGGGCAGAGGAAGGUGGAAUUCCCGGUGUAGCG
rnacentral:rRNA from 1 species